CUGGCGGCAUGGUUAAACAUGCAAGUCGAACGCGUCUUCGGGACGAGUGGCGAAAGGGCGAGUAACGCGAUCGAACGUAUCCCGAGGCGGGGGAUAGGUAGCCGAAAGGCGGCGUAAUACCCCAUACGCUCUACGGAGGAAAGGCUUGCCACCUUGGGAGCGGCGAUCGUCCUAUCAGGUUGUUGGUGAGGUAACGGCUCACCAAGCCGAAGACAGGUAGCGGGUGUGAGAGCAUGGCCCGCCGCAUCGGGACUGAGACACUGCCCGGACUCCUACGGGAGGCUGCAGUUACGAAUCUUCCGCAAUGGGCGAAAGCCUGACGGAGCAAUGCCGCGUGUGGGAUGAAGCUGUUACGCAGUGUAAACCACUGUCAGGGUCUAGCAACACUGAGCAGACCCAGAGGAAGGGCCGGCUAAUUCCGUGCCAGCAGCCGCGGUAACACGGAAGGCCCGAGCGUUAAUCGGAAUCACUGGGCUUAAAGCGUGCGCAGGCGGACCGGUAGGCAUCUCGUGAAAGCCCACGGCUCAACCGUGGAACUGCGGGGUGAACCGCCGGUCUCGAGGCAGGUAGAGGUCAACGGAACUAUGGGUAGAGCGGUGAAAUGCGUAGAUAUCCAUGGGAACGCCGGUGGCGAAGGCGGUUGACUGGGCCUGUCCUGACGCUCAGGCACGAAAGCGUGGGUAGCGAACGGGAUUAGAUACCCCGGUAGUCCACGCCGUAAACGCUGCACACUAGGUCGGGGGAGUUCUCACACUUUCCCGGCCGAAGGUAAACUGUUAAGUGUGCCGCCUGGGGAGUACGGUCGCAAGGCUAAAACUCAAAGGAAUUGACGGGGGCUCACACAAGCGGUGGAGCAUGUUGCUUAAUUCGAGGCAACGCGAAGAACCUUACCUAGGCUUGACAUGCACGGAUUAGCCGGCUGAAAGGUCGGUGACGCCUUCGGGUGGAACGUGCACAGGUGCUGCAUGGCUGUCGUCAGCUCGUGCUGUGAAGUGUCGGUUAAGUCCCUUAACGAGCGCAACCCCUAUCGCUAGUUACUAACGCGUUAUGGCGAGGACUCUAGCGAGACUGCCGGUGU
rnacentral:rRNA from 1 species